rnacentral:rRNA from 1 species
UUAGAGUUUGAUCCUGGCUCAGGAUGAACGCUAGCGGCAGGCUUAACACAUGCAAGUCGAGGGGUAACAGGUCACUUCGGUGAUGCUGACGACCGGCGCACGGGUGAGUAACGCGUAUGGAACCUACCUGAAACAGGGGGAUAGCUUCCGGAAACGGGGAUUAAUACCCCAUACGAUUCAUUUGUGGCCUCACAAAUGGAUAAAAGCUACGGGGGUUUCAGAUGGUCAUGCGUACCAUUAGUUAGUUGGGGAGGUAAAGGCUCACCAAGGCGAUGAUGGUUAGGGGUCCUGAGAGGGUAGUCCCCCACACUGGUACUGAGACACGGACCAGACUCCUACGGGAGGCAGCAGUGAGGAAUAUUGUUCAAUGGACGCUAGCCUGAACCAGCCAUGCCGCGUUCAGGAAGACGGCCCUACGGGUUGUAAACUGCUUUUCUGCAGGAAGAAUAUAUAGUCUUAUGGCUAUAUUGACGGAACUGCGGGAAUAAGCAUCGGCUAACUCCGUGGCAACAGCCGGGGUAAUACGGAGGAUGUAAUCGUUAUCCGGAUUCAUUGGGUU